AAACCUGGUUUCUCUUCAAAUCAAAUAAGUCUUUUGCCUUUUACUAAAGAUUUCCAUUGAGAGGAACGACCAUGAGUUUCACAAGUCUGUGUGGAAAGUUCUGCUACGUAGUAAAU
ensembl:snRNA U5 U5 spliceosomal RNA